UUGUUAUGGCUAUUAGCUUAUUAAUCAUCGUGUACUGAAAUUUGCAGGUACAGCAACAGGUGCCUUACAUCACUACUGCUUUGAUGGAUGCGAAGCUUGGCACGGAAGGGCGCAAGGAUCUUUUUGAUUGGCUAUCAAGGCAACUUAGUGGAUUAAGAAAUUUUCCUGAUGCUGUAAAUCUGAAUUAUGUAUUGUUUCAAUUUGUUAUGCUAGAUGGAUGUGACUUGUGAAUGAAAACUUAGAAUAGUUGUAUUGUGUCGAAUGUUAAUGAUUCAGUUAAUUUGAAUGAUGCUUUAAAAUUAUAGGUUUA